UGAACGCUGGCGGCAGGCCUAACACAUGCACGUCGAGCGGAUGAAGGGAGCUUGCUCCUGGAUUCAGCGGCGGACGGGUGAGUAAUGCCUAGGAAUCUGCCUGGUAGUGGGGGAUAACGUCCGGAAACGGGCGCUAAUACCGCAUACGUCCUGAGGGAGAAAGUGGGGGAUCUUCGGACCUCACGCUAUCAGAUGAGCCUAGGUCGGAUUAGCUAGUUGGUGGGGUAAAGGCCUACCAAGGCGACGAUCCGUAACUGGUCUGAGAGGAUGAUCAGUCACACUGGAACUGAGACACGGUCCAGACUCCUACGGGAGGCAGCAGUGGGGAAUAUUGGACAAUGGGCGAAAGCCUGAUCCAGCCAUGCCGCGUGUGUGAAGAAGGUCUUCGGAUUGUAAAGCACUUUAAGUUGGGAGGAAGGGCAGUAAGUUAAUACCUUGCUGUUUUGACGUUACCAACAGAAUAAGCACCGGCUAACUUCGUGC
rnacentral:rRNA from 1 species